rnacentral:rRNA from 1 species
UACGAAGGUGGCAAGCGUUACUCGGAUUUACUAGGCGUAAAGGGCAGGUAGGUGGUUUGAUAAGUCUGCUGUGUAAGCUCCCGGCUUAACUGGGAGAGGUCAGCGGAAACUAUCAGGCUUGAGUAUGGGGAGAGGGUACUGGAAUUCCUGGUGUAGCGGUGAAAUGCGCAGAUAUCAGGAGGAACACCAAUGGCGAAAGCAGGUACCUGGACCAUUACUGACGCUGAGAAGCGAAAGCAUGGGGGAGCGAAACAGG